CCUACGGGGGGCUGCAGUGGGGAAUAUUGGACAAUGGGCGCAAGCCUGAUCCAGCCAUGCCGCGUGAGUGAUGAAGGCCUUAGGGUUGUAAAGCUCUUUUGUCCGGGACGAUAAUGACGGUACCGGAAGAAUAAGCCCCGGCUAACUUCGUGCCAGCAGCCGCGGUAAUACGAAGGGGGCUAGCGUUGCUCGGAAUCACUGGGCGUAAAGGGCGCGUAGGCGGUCUUUUAAGUCGGGGGUGAAAGCCUGUGGCUCAACCACAGAAGUGCCUUCGAUACUGGGAGACUUGAGUUCGGUAGAGGUUGGUGGAACUGCGAGUGUAGAGGUGAAAUUCGUAGAUAUUCGCAAGAACACCGGUGGCGAAGGCGGCCAACUGGACCGACACUGACGCUGAGGCGCGAAAGCGUGGGGAGCAAACAGGAUUAGAUACCCGUGUAGUC
rnacentral:rRNA from 1 species